UGCAGUGGCCUUCAUUCCCUUGAACUG
rnacentral:misc_RNA from 1 species